GAUGUACUCCCUCCGUUCGGAAAUACUUGUCGGGGAAAUGGAUGUAUCUAGACGUAUUUUAGUUCUAGAUACAUUCAUUUUCGCGACAAGUAAUUCCGGACGGAGGGAGUAUUAA
rnacentral:pre_miRNA from 1 species